rnacentral:rRNA from 1 species
UACGAAGGUGGCAAGCGUUGUUCGGAUUCACUGGGCGUACAGGGUGUGUAGGCGGUUUGGUAAGCCUUCUGUUAAAGCUUCGGGCCCAACCCGGAAAGCGCAGAGGGUACUGCCGGGCUAGAGGACGGGAGAGGAGCGCGGAAUUCCCGGUGUAGAGGUGAAAUUCGUAGAUAUCGGGAGGAACACCAGUGGCGAAGGCGCUUUCUGGCCAUCAACUGACGCAUGAGACGGCGAA